GACGAACGCUGGCGGCGUGCUUAACACAUGCAAGUCGAACGGUGAAAGCGGAGCUUGCUCCGCUGGAUCAGUGGCGAACGGGUGAGUAACACGUGGGCAACCUGCCCCUCACUUCGGGAUAACUCCGGGAAACCGGGGCUAAUACCGGAUAUGACCUCCUUGGGCAUCCUUGGAGGUGGAAAGUUUUGCGGUGAGGGAUGGGCCCGCGGCCUAUCAGCUUGUUGGUGAGGUAGUGGCUCACCAAGGCGACGACGGGUAGCCGGCCUGAGAGGGCGACCGGCCACACUGGGACUGAGACACGGCCCAGACUCCUACGGGAGGCAGCAGUGGGGAAUAUUGCGCAAUGGGCGAAAGCCUGACGCAGCAACGCCGCGUGCGGGAUGACGGCCUUCGGGUUGUAAACCGCUUUCAGCAGGGAAGAAGCCGCAAGGUGACGGUACCUGCAGAUGAAGCACCGGCUAACUACGUGCCAGCAGCCGCGGUAA
rnacentral:rRNA from 1 species